rnacentral:tmRNA from 1 species
GGGGCUGCCUGGUAUUGACGGGAAAGUGUAGUCGCUUCGUAAGCAUGCCGGAGCAUGGUUGGUUACUCCGUAAAAAAUAAUGACCGAACAAUAGUUGGCAACACUCAGUAUGCCAUGGCUGCCUAAUCUGAGAUAGAUUAGAAAUGCCUUUGUGCCGCGUAAGGGCUACGCUCAGCGUCCCCCUUUUUGGUCUGAAUUCUGCUAACGACCCGCCGCGCAUCAACCUUAUGCAGGAUAGUUUUCCGGAGGGCUUCGGCCGGAGAGCGAAACUUAGAAGAUAAGGUGCGGAUGUGUCUGUUUCUGAACCAACCCGCACUCGAAAAACCAAUCAGGAAAUAAGCAUGUAGAAGGCGCUGCGGCGCUUUGUCCGGACGCGGGUUCGAAUCCCGCCAGCUCCACAA